CUCGGGCACGCUCUUAUCCUCUAUGAUUACUCAGCUGCGCAGUCAGCUCGGGCACGUCGUGAGUUGGGAGAUGAUGCACUAUUGGGUGUGGACAAAAAGGUUACUAGCGGCUGGGGAAUCUGGAUUCAAAUCCGGUCGAUUCAAGUUUCAAAGGACUGGGCUUUUGAUUUUUCAGAUCUUCUCUCCCGAAUAUUUGGGGAAAAUUAUCAUGGGUUUUUAACUUCAUGUGUUUUUAACUCCUGCUCCUGGUCCUCAGAUUUCAUGAGCAGCGCACCACGCGCCGCCCGCCACCGGGAAGCCUCAAGUCUCAAGAAUGGGUUCUCAGUUUCUUGGAUCUCUUUCCAUUCGUUUGAACUUCGGGAGUGAGACCAAAGGUUUUGUUAGCCAUGAUCCGGCAAAUGUUGUGGACCACAAGCAGCUAAGUUUUCAUUUCCAAUUCUUGUUUCAAUUCCUCAAAAUCCUUUGAUCGAUAGACUAGGUGUAUUUUGAGUAACCUGCCUGCGAAAUUUGCGCUAGUGCUCAUGGUCGUUUAGUAUUCGAGCUGAAUUGAAAUAUUUUAACAUCGUUAGAUUGUACAUGAUGAUCUUUGCAUGAAAUUUUCUUGGGAACCAUGGUGAUUUUUGCAUUUACAUUGUACAUGAAUAUUGGUGGGAUUAUUUGCUAAGUCUCAUCUGAAUUUCUAUGAUGGGAUUUGGGUUUAUGUGAUUACCGAUUAUUCAUAAGUCAUAUUGUGGCUAUGCACAUGAGCAAAGAUUUGUCGGGAAUUGAAAUUUUAAGCACAUGGUUGAACUUAAUUGGGGCUAUGAUUUGGCUUUGAUCUUAGCUCAGCGCUGAAGAGGGCAGCGCAGGCGAGGGCAUUUGAGGUCAGCGCAGGCGGCAUCAAGAGGUCAGUGCAGAUGGCAUUAAGAGGUCAGUACAGGUGGCAUCAAGAGGUCAGCCAGGCGGCAUCAAGAGGUCAGCGCAGGCGGCAUCAAGAGGUCAGCGCAGGCGGCGGUUUUCGAGAAGAAUUGGAGCAUCAAGAGGUCAGCGCAGGCGGCGGUCUUCGAGAAGAAUUGGAGCAUCAAGAGGUCAGCGCAGGCG
rnacentral:lncRNA from 1 species